rnacentral:rRNA from 1 species
UACGUAGGGUGCGAGCGUUGUCCGGAAUUAUUGGGCGUAAAGGGCGCGUAGGCGGUUUGUACAGUCAGACGUGAAAUUCCUGGGCUCAACCUGGGGGCUGCGUUUGAUACGUGCGGACUUGAGUUCGGAAGAGGGUCGUGGAAUUCCCAGUGUAGAGGUGAAAUUCGUAGAUAUUGGGAAGAACACCGGUGGCGAAGGCGGCGGCCUGGUCCGAUACUGACGCUGAGGCGCGAAAGCGUGGGGAGCAAACAGG